rnacentral:tRNA from 1 species
AACCUUGUGAGUAUGAGUGAGUAUGCCUAACUUCGACUUAGGGGGACCUAAAUGGACAAGGUUA